rnacentral:rRNA from 1 species
AAAUUGAAGAGUUUGAUCAUGGCUCAGAUUGAACGCUGGCGGCAGGCCUAACACAUGCAAGUCGAACGGUAACAGAAAGAAGCUUGCUUCUUUGCUGACGAGUGGCGGACGGGUGAGUAAUGUCUGGGAAACUGCCUGAUGGAGGGGGAUAACUACUGGAAACGGUAGCUAAUACCGCAUAACGUCGCAAGACCAAAGAGGGGGACCUUCGGGCCUCU